rnacentral:rRNA from 1 species
GAUGAACGCUGGCGGCGUGCCUAAUACAUGCAAGUCGAGCGAACGGACGAGACGCUUGCUUCUCUGAUGUUAGCGGCGGACGGGUGAGUAACACGUGGAUACCCUACCUAUAAGACUGGGAUCACUUCGGGAAACCGGAGCUAAUACCGGAUAAUAUUUUGAACCGCAUGGUUCAAAAGUGAAAGACGGUCUUGCUGUCACUUAUAGAUGGAUCCGCGCUGCAUUAGCUAGUUGGUAAGGUAACGGCUUACCAAGGCAACGAUGCAUAGCCGACCUGAGAGGGUGAUCGGCCACACUGGAACUGAGACACGGUCCAGACUCCUACGGGAGGCAGCAGUAGGGAAUCUUCCGCAAUGGGCGAAAGCCUGACGGAGCAACGCCGCGUGAGUGAUGAAGGUCUUCGGAUCGUAAAACUCUGUUAUUAGGGAAGAACAUAUGUGUAAGUAACUGUGCACAUCUUGACGGUACCUAAUCAGAAAGCCACGGCUAACUACGUG